rnacentral:rRNA from 1 species
GAUGAACGCUGGCGGCGUGCCUAAUACAUGCAAGUCGAGCGAACGGACGAGAAGCUUGCUUCUCUGAUGUUAGCGGCGGACGGGUGAGUAACACGUGGAUAACCUACCUAUAAGACUGGGAUAACUUCGGGAAACCGGAGCUAAUACCGGAUAAUAUUUUGAACCGCAUGGUUCAAAAGUGAAAGACGGUCUUGCUGUCACUUAUAGAUGGAUCCGCGCUGCAUUAGCUAGUUGGUAAGGUAACGGCUUACCAAGGCAACGAUGCAUAGCCGACCUGAGAGGGUGAUCGGCCACACUGGAACUGAGACACGGUCCAGACUCCUACGGGAGGCAGCAGUAGGGAAUCUUCCGCAAUGGGCGAAAGCCUGACGGAGCAACGCCGCGUGAGUGAUGAAGGUCUUCGGAUCGUAAAACUCUGUUAUUAGGGAAGAACAUAUGUGUAAGUAACUGUGCACAUCUUGACGGUACCUAAUCAGAAAGCCACGGCUAACUACGUGCCAGCAGCCGCGGUAAUACGUAGGUGGCAAGCGUUAUCCGGAAUUAUUGGGCGUAAAGCGCGCGUAGGCGGUUUUUUAAGUCUGGUGUGAAAGCCCACGGCUCAACCGUGGAGGGUCAUUGGAAACUGGAAAACUUGAGUGCAGAAGAGGAAAGUGGAAUUCCAUGUGUAGCGGUGAAAUGCGCAGAGAUAUGGAGGAACACCAGUGGCGAAGGCGACUUUCUGGUCUGUAACUGACGCUGAUGUGCGAAAGCGUGGGGAUCAAACAGGAUUAGAUACCCUGGUAGUCCACGCCGUAAACGAUGAGUGCUAAGUGUUAGGGGGUUUCCGCCCCUUAGUGCUGCAGCUAACGCAUUAAGCACUCCGCCUGGGGAGUACGACCGCAAGGUUGAAACUCAAAGGAAUUGACGGGGACCCGCACAAGCGGUGGAGCAUGUGGUUUAAUUCGAAGCAACGCGAAGAACCUUACCAAAUCUUGACAUCCUUUGACAACUCUAGAGAUAGAGCUUUCCCCUUCGGGGGACAAAGUGACAGGUGGUGCAUGGUUGUCGUCAGCUCGUGUCGUGAGAUGUUGGGUUAAGUCCCGCAACGAGCGCAACCCUUAAGCUUAGUUGCCAUCAUUAAGUUGGGCACUCUAAGUUGACUGCCGGUGACAAACCGGAGGAAGGUGGGGAUGACGUCAAAUCAUCAUGCCCCUUAUGAUUUGGGCUACACACGUGCUACAAUGGACAAUACAAAGGGCAGCGAAACCGUGAGGUCAAGCAAAUCCCAUAAAGUUGUUCUCAGUUCGGAUUGUAGUCUGCAACUCGACUACAUGAAGCUGGAAUCGCUAGUAAUCGUAGAUCAGCAUGCUACGGUGAAUACGUUCCCGGGUCU